GGGAGGUGUUGUGGAUUUCUCUGUGUUGCUGUGUUGAGUCAUUGGUUUUCCUGGAGGAGCUUAUAACAGCUAGCUUCCCGGGUGUUAGUUCGACCAUUAUCCUCAGAGGAGCUUGGAACCUUGUUGGAGCUCAGGACUUCCAUGUUGCGGAGGACGGCUGUGGUGGCUUUUCAGGACAGCCCUGGUCUUUGUUGACCUCAUCCAGUCCAUGGAAAACGUCAAGAGAAAAAGACUGAGUCCCUUGAAAAUGGAAAAAUUCUUACUUUGGGUUCACUUACAACUCAAGACUACUGCACCCACACUCUGCUCAGUUUCCUUGCUGCUGGCCUGCCUGGCAGAAUUUGGAUUGUCAGCCCCCAUGUUCUUGUGAGCCAAUUUAUUAAGAUAAAUUUCUCCAUAUAAGUACAUAUUGUUGAUUUUCUUUCUUGGGAAAAUACUGACACAAUCAGCAAUG